AAAUUGAAGAGUUUGAUCAUGGCUCAGAUUGAACGCUGGCGGCAGGCCUAACACAUGCAAGUCGAACGGUAACAGGAAACAGCUUGCUGUUUCGCUGACGAGUGGCGGACGGGUGAGUAAUGUCUGGGAAACUGCCUGAUGGAGGGGGAUAACUACUGGAAACGGUAGCUAAUACCGCAUAACGUCGCAAGACCAAAGAGGGGGACCUUCGGGCCUCUUGCCAUCGGAUGUGCCCAGAUGGGAUUAGCUUGUUGGUGGGGUAACGGCUCACCAAGGCGACGAUCCCUAGCUGGUCUGAGAGGAUGACCAGCCACACUGGAACUGAGACACGGUCCAGACUCCUACGGGAGGCAGCAGUGGGGAAUAUUGCACAAUGGGCGCAAGCCUGAUGCAGCCAUGCCGCGUGUAUGAAGAAGGCCUUCGGGUUGUAAAGUACUUUCAGCGGGGAGGAAGGGAGUAAAGUUAAUACCUUUGCUCAUUGACGUUACCCGCAGAAGAAGCACCGGCUAACUCCGUGCCAGCAGCCGCGGUAAUACGGAGGGUGCAAGCGUUAAUCGGAAUUACUGGGCGUAAAGCGCACGCAGGCGGUUUGUUAAGUCAGAUGUGAAAUCCCGGGCUCAACCUGGGAACUGCAUCUGAUACUGGCAAGCUUGAGUCUCGUAGAGGGGGGUAGAAUUCCAGGUGUAGCGGUGAAAUGCGUAGAGAUCUGGAGGAAUACCGGUGGCGAAGGCGGCCCCCUGGACGAAGACUGACGCUCAGGUGCGAAAGCGUGGGGAGCAAACAGGAUUAGAUACCCUGGUAGUCCACGCCGUAAACGAUGUCGACUUGGAGGUUGUGCCCUUGAGGCGUGGCUUCCGGAGCUAACGCGUUAAGUCGACCGCCUGGGGAGUACGGCCGCAAGGUUAAAACUCAAAUGAAUUGACGGGGGCCCGCACAAGCGGUGGAGCAUGUGGUUUAAUUCGAUGCAACGCGAAGAACCUUACCUGGUCUUGACAUCCACGGAAGUUUUCAGAGAUGAGAAUGUGCCUUCGGGAACCGUGAGACAGGUGCUGCAUGGCUGUCGUCAGCUCGUGUUGUGAAAUGUUGGGUUAAGUCCCGCAACGAGCGCAACCCUUAUCCUUUGUUGCCAGCGGUCCGGCCGGGAACUCAAAGGAGACUGCCAGUGAUAAACUGGAGGAAGGUGGGGAUGACGUCAAGUCAUCAUGGCCCUUACGACCAGGGCUACACACGUGCUACAAUGGCGCAUACAAAGAGAAGCGACCUCGCGAGAGCAAGCGGACCUCAUAAAGUGCGUCGUAGUCCGGAUUGGAGUCUGCAACUCGACUCCAUGAAGUCGGAAUCGCUAGUAAUCGUGGAUCAGAAUGCCACGGUGAAUACGUUCCCGGGCCUUGUACACACCGCCCGUCACACCAUGGGAGUGGGUUGCAAAAGAAGUAGGUAGCUUAACCUUCGGGAGGGCGCUUACCACUUUGUGAUUCAUGACUGGGGUGAAGUCGUAACAAGGUAACCGUAGGGGAACCUGCGGUUGGAUCACCUCCUUA
rnacentral:rRNA from 1 species